CCUACGGGUGACAGCAGUGGGGAAUAUUGCGCAAUGGGCGAAAGCCUGACGCAGCGACGCCGCGUGAGGGAUGAAGGUCUUCUGAUCGGAAACCUCUGUUAGCAGGGAAGAACGGUCACUGUGCUAAUCAGCAGUGAAUUGACGGUACCUGCAAAGGAAGCACCGGCUAACUCCGUGCAAGCAGCCGCGGUAAUACGGAGGGUGCGAGCGGUAAUCGGAAUUACUGGGCGUAAAGGGCUCGUAGGCGGUAUGUCAAGUCAAGGGUGAAAUCCCCGCGCUCAACGGGGGAACUGCCUUUGAAACUGGCGAACUGGAGUGUGCGAGAGGAUAGUGGAAUGCCAGGUGUAGGAGUGAAAUCCGUAGAUAUCUGGAGGAACAUCAGUGGCGAAGGCGACUAUCUGGCACAUAACUGACGCUGAGGAGCGAAAGCGUGGGUAGCAAACAGGAUUAGAUACCCUAGUAGUC
rnacentral:rRNA from 1 species